CAGAACAUUUUCUUCCUUGAAGAUUGUAAAAGUGGACAUCUCUGACUCUGGAAUUUUUUACUGUGGAAGCUUUUUGACAAACCACAUGAUGUUUCACGACAAAACACAGUUAGUGGUAGUAAAUGAGACUAAUCAUUCUGAAGAGGAUAUUGCAACUGUGGAUUGUGGUAUGUGUCAUACAUUACAAUUUAGCACUAAAAUUUGGCACACAUUCAUUGCAUUUUUUAUUUCUAGCUUGCAAUGAUCUUGUUCUCUUUGUUUCUGAAUGGUUUUAACAGGGGCAGCUGAAGAAUCUUUGAGAUCCUGCCAUCUCUAUUAUACACUGACACUGAUUCUGAGUGGCUUUUUUCUUUUCCUUCCCACUGUAUUUGUGAUUAUAGUCUUACUCAGACUGAGGGACAGAAACAAGCAGAAGGGCAUGUUAACAACUUUAAAUACACACUAAAAUAUACAAUAAACCUUUAAAAUUUAGAUCUUAACAAAACAAGUGCCCUGGGAUUGUAAUAAUGAUUGAUUUUCUUGUUUUUCUUAGAUGCCCAUUUUCAGGGUCUUGAUGAAGAGAUGCACAAUUACUUGCAAAAGCAUCAAGAUAUAGACUUGCACUGUGCACCAGUAAGUUUUGCAAAGAAGUUGAACAGGUCACCUGGGAGAAAUAUGAGUGGCGUGGAGACUCAUGUUGUCUAUGCUGAAAUAAAAUGAUUUACAGAUUAUUAAAAGAUUGUUCUUUGUGGAGACUGGUUAACAUAUGAUAUGUCACCAAAACGUGAAAUUCUGAUUGUGUGUUCUUAGUGGUGAGUUAAGGUGUGUUGUGUUAAAAUUAUAAUGUACAUUCUUUAAAUACAUAAUAAUACAUUUUCUUGGGAUUUUCUGCUUCAAAUGGCAAAAUACUGUGUAUUGUGUAUUUUCUUUCAUCAAUAGUUUAAGGAUUAUUUUAAUCAGAGAGUACACACUUGAAUGACGUAUAAAUCACAACAUGGUUUUAUUUCCAUAACUAGGUCUUAUUUAAUUGCUUUUAAUGCAUCUGUGCCAUCUUAGUAGUGUAAAGACAGCAUUAAGUAAGCAAAAUCUCAAGCUCUACCAGUGUCUGUGGACUGCAGUUUGAAUGCCAUGUGGCUGAUAGAUUUAAAUUCAAGAGUAGGCUCUUGUUGGGUUAUUCCAGAAAAUUUAACUCCAAGCCAGUUAAAAAGCAAAUAUAUGAAUUAAAACUAUAAUAUUAUUCUCCUUAAGUUUGGGUGGUGGUAUUCUCCACCAAUUUGGGUGGUGUUGGCGCAGUGGAUAAGACACAUGCCUUUGGUAUGAAAGAUCCGGGUUUGAAUCCACUGUGAGACACCAAUGUGUACCUGAGGCAAGACACUCAACCCUUAGUUGCUCCAGAGGCGUGCGACCUCUAACAUAUAUAGCAACUGUAAAUCACUUUGGAUAGAAGCAUCAGCUAAAUGUAAAUAAAUAAAUUCAUUUGCAUCUUUAUUUGUUUUGUGAUAGAUAUUCUCUGAGAAGUGAAUUUGAAAGGAGUGGAUUAUAUUCUUGCAUUUCAUUCCAGUAAAGUCAAAUAGACUAGUCUUCUGUGAGUCAGUGUGAAAAGACAGCAGAUGCCGAUACAGUGUGAUUGCAAUAAUUUAUUUACUGAUUGUACUAGAGGUAAUUGACAUGCAAAGG